AACUGCGAGUGAAGCGGGAAAAGCUCAAAUUUAAAAUCUGGUGGUCUUUUGGUCAUCCGAGUUGUAAUUUAGAGAAGCGUCUUCCGCGCCGGACCRUGCACAAGUCUCCUGGAAUGGAGCGUCAUAGAGGGUGAGAAUCCCGUCUUUGGCAUGGACACCCGGGGCUUCUGUGAUGCGCUCUCGAAGAGUCGAGUUGUUUGGGAAUGCAGCUCAAAAUGGGUGGUGAACUCCAUCUAAAGCUAAAUAUUGGCGAGAGACCGAUAGCGAACAAGUACCGUGAGGGAAAGAUGAAAAGCACUUUGGAAAGAGAGUGAAACAGUACGUGAAAUUGUUGAAAGGGAAACGCUUGAAGUCAGUCGCGUUGACCGAGACUCAGCCUUGCCUUGGCUUGGUGUACUUCUCGGCUGACGGGCCAGUAUCAAUUUUGUCCCUCGGAUAAUGGCAAGGGAAAGGUGGCACCUUUACCGGUGUGUUAUAGUCUCUUGUCGCAUGCGAGGGGCGGGAUUGAGGAACUCAGCACGCACCUUUUGGUGUCGGGGCCUUGGCCC
rnacentral:rRNA from 1 species